GAUGAACGCUGGCGGCGUGCUUAACACAUGCAAGUCGAACGGAGUUGUCUCGCUGAAGCGAGCUUGCUCAAAUCUUGAGACAACUUAGUGGCGGACGGGUGAGUAACGCGUGGGUAACCUGCCAUAUACAGGGGGAUAACACUUAGAAAUAGGUGCUAAUACCGCAUAAGCGCACAGUUUCGCAUGAAACAGUGUGAAAAACUCCGGUGGUAUAUGAUGGACCCGCGUCUGAUUAGCUAGUUGGUAAGGUAACGGCUUACCAAGGCGACGAUCAGUAGCCGGCCUGAGAGGGUGACCGGCCACAUUGGGACUGAGACACGGCCCAAACUCCUACGGGAGCAGCAGUGGGGAAUAUUGCACAAUGGGGGAAACCCUGAUGCAGCGACGCCGCGUGAGUGAAGAAGUAUUUCGGUAUGUAAAGCUCUAUCAGCAGGGAAGAAAAUGACGGUACCUGACUAAGAAGCCCCGGCUAACUACGUGCCAGCAGCCGACGG
rnacentral:rRNA from 1 species